UACAUCACUCGCAGUCGAGGCCCACCUCCGUCUCCGUUCCCCACCCACGCUUCCCUCCCUCCGAAUCUCCAAUCGGCGGCGAUCUCCCCCGGAAUCCCUAACGCCGGGCACGGCCAACCACCGCCUCCCCUCGCCGCGCCACCGCAGCCGCAAGAAUGCCGAGGCCUCCUCCUCCUCCUCCUCCUGGUCGCGGGGCUCCGGGGGCCAGGCGGCCGAUGCGGGAGUUCUUCGCCGCCUGGCUAUCCACCCUCCGCUCGCCGCUCCUCCCCCUGCUCCGCCGCGCGCUCUCCUCCUCCUCCUCCUCCUCGUCCGGAGGCUGGGACGACCCGCUUUCCUCCGCCGCCGCCGCCGUCGAGGCCCACUUCCAGGCGCACUGGUCCGCCCUCGACGCCGCCGCCCGCCAGGACCCCGCCCAGGCCGUCUCCGCUGGAGACUGGCGCUCGCCUCUCGAGCUCCCCUUCCUGUGGGUCGGCGACCUCCACCCGUCCCUCGUAACCUCCCUCCUCCGGUCGCUUUCGCCCUCCCCGCGGCUCCUCGCCGCUACCGACCGCGUCGACCGCCGGAUCCGCGCGGCCGUCCCCUCAAUCUCCGACCGCCUCCGCCGUGUCCAGGAGGCCUUCAUCUCCGCCGAGGUGUCCGGCGCGGCUGACGUGGAGGCGUUCUUGGAGGAGCUCAAGGACGUCGCCCUCGAUGCCAACAGGCUCCGUCGAGGCGUUCUUUCGGAGCUCGUCGCCGCCGCCGGGGGGUACCAGGCGGCGCUCUUCCUCGAGGCGCUCUCGCGCUUCGUGCUCUCCAUGCACGACCCGGAGGUGCUCCGCCGCUUCGACCAGUGCCGCGCCUCUCCCGGCAUCUUUGGGAAGCACGAGAUGAGCUAGCGCACCUAGCAACUGUCGAGGCAGCGAGGAGACCAAUCCAACAAGAGGAAGUGCAUGGUAUUCUUUUCCCAAUUAGUUGCUAGCUGGGCGUUAGGUGGUCGCAGGCGACUCGAAAACGUUGAGACAUCCAGGAGUCAUCUGGUACCCUCGUGGAUCCGACUUGGCCAACAAUUUUCCCCCAAGGCAUCAGGUCGCCAGCACUGACGUUUCAGUAUUAACCCCUCUUAAAAAAAAUGACGCUAUACCAUAUCUUUAGUGUUGGAUGGUGAAAAAGAAAAUUUGAUGGAUGAUUGAAGUUGCACGUUUGUUAACAAGGACUUGUGUUAACAUCGUCGUGAAGUAGGCUAGCCACCGACCUGUGUGUUGUAUUCUAUUUGUAUGCAGUUAUGAAGCAGAAUUUUCAUGACAAAGAGAUGGAGGCCUGUUUCAGUCAGAAUAUAUCAUCUAAAUCUUUUUAUGCUCUAAAAAUGGAGGUCUGUUUCAGUCAGAAUAUUAUCAAAUCUUUGUGGUCGAAAUUGGCCCUUGGGGGGAAUUAUCACA